rnacentral:rRNA from 1 species
AUGCCUCCUAUUUACACAACGGCAACCCGACGAAGGAUGACGGGGCGGGUCGGGAGGCGGGGAAAGCCGUCCAUGGCGAUCCUGGUGGCGUUGCUAAUGGCGUUAGUGGCACUGCCGCUCCUCAUGGUGCCCGACACGCUCUCUAUGCCAGGCUCCAACGGCGUGGAUCGCGGCGCCGCCCUGUCGCUCCCACGCCCGUGCUUCAGCAGAUCCGUGUUUGAGAGGCUGGAGAACAUCAGGGAGAAAAGGGAGUCGUGGAUGGAGACUUGUCCUACAUGGCCGAGCGAGAUCGAGGCUAGCCGCCGGUAA